rnacentral:rRNA from 1 species
CCUACGGGAGGCAGCAGUGGGGAAUAUUGCACAAUGGGGGAAACCCUGAUGCAGCAACGCCGCGUGAGUGAAGAAGUAUUUCGGUAUGUAAAGCUCUAUCAGCAGGGAAGAAGAUGACGGUACCUGAGUAAGAAGCCCCGGCUAACUACGUGCCAGCAGCCGCGGUAAUACGUAGGGGGCAAGCGUUAUCCGGAUUUACUGGGUGUAAAGGGAGCGUAGACGGUGAGACAAGUCUGAAGUGAAAGCCCGGGGCUCAACCCCGGGACUGCUUUGGAAACUGCCUGACUGGAGUGCUGGAGAGGCAAGCGGAAUUCCUGGUGUAGCGGUGAAAUGCGUAGAUAUUAGGAGGAACACCGGCGGCGAAGGCGGCCUGCUGGACCGCGACUGACGUUGAGGCUCGAAAGCGUGGGGAGCGAACAGGAUUAGAUACCCUUGUAGUC